AAGAUCUCGGCUGCCUGCCUGCCUCUCUCUCCUUCCUCCAUCCUUCGCUCUGCAGCCGCAAGGUACGUGCUUUCAUACCAUUACGAUUCCGAUCAUGCCUUUUCAAAUCUGGGUUGUGUUUGGUUACCGAGAAAAUGCUGAAUAAACGAAGAAAUUAACAAGCUUUGGGAAAAUUACAAUCCGCAUUGUCUUUCUCUUUACUUGGAUUGAAAUGGAGAAUUGGGCAACCCAAUCGAGAAGUGUAUUAUUAAGUGCGAGUUGGAUUUUAUGUUCUCAAUCCUUACAAUCAGAAAAUGAUAUGAGAACAAAUGGGCGCUUUUUUGAGGUUAGGUUGAUGACACUGUCGUAAACCCUUUUCGCUGUUUGGGAUAAGCUUUAGUUAGGGAAAUUCAGAAGCAAAUUUUGUAGCUUUUAUGUAUGAAUAGUUCUUACUGUAGGAAAAGACGGUUUCUUGCUUGAGAUUAAGGGUUUGAUGGCUAUAAAGAGGUGUCAUUGAUCUUAGGAAUGGGUUAGCGGACGUAGCUGAAAAUAUUGUAUAGGUUGUUCUGUGUUUGAAUCAAAGAUUUAUUGCUUUGAGGUGUUAGAGGCUAAGAGGGCAAGUCCAAAGUUAGGUAUGUAAUGGAUGAACUAGGUUCUCGAGAAAGUGAUCUGGAUUUUGACUUGGAAAGUGGUGACACUGAAAGCUCCGAUGAAGAAGUACAUGAAGAGUCAAGUUCAGAUGGUAAGCGUCCCAGGAAAACAAUGGCUAGGGCAAGAAGUGGAUACUUGUAUGUUGAUGGAUCAAUAGCAGCUAGUGAUGGACUAAGCACAAGCAAGAAUGUUUCGAGUAUUGGUGAGAAUAUGGAUAUGUUAGGUAGUAGCACGGGGAAAAUGACAGAAGGAGGAGUGGAGAAUAGAAUGGGAGAUAAACAGAAAAAGAAGAUCCCUAAGAAGCAUCCCAAGCCACCUCGGCCUCCUACAGGGCCAGCAUUACAUGCAGCUGAUAUAGAAUUGGUCAACGAAAUUUCAAAGCGUGCGAGGUUGCGGCGUGCAAGGAGAGAGAGAAUGAAUGCAUUGAAGAGAAUGAAAGCUGAUAAAACCUCGUCUUCAAAGAUCAACUUUUUGGCAAUGGUUGUAACCGCUAUCUUCUUCUUUGUGAUAAUCUUUCAAGGAAUCUUGGGUUCUCGUGCAUGAACUACGUUUUCAUAAAUCCCACAGUACAGACAACCCCGUCUGCGAGUGCAACUCAUAGGCUGGCUCUGUCUUUACAAGGCCGCGUAGUGCAAAGACAAGAAGAGGCAUAUGAAAUCAUCGUAGCUACAUUUCUUUUCCUUAGUCAUGGUCUCUGAGGUGUAACUGGCACUGGUUGUCUACAUUCAAUUCUGUUUUUCACCUACUGCAGUAAAUUGUGGUUGAGCAGAUUCGGCUUUUAUAAAUUUUGUAAAACCUUGUGCACCGAAGUUGCAUUCCACUGUACUAAUUUUAUUGUUGAAAGAAAAUUCAAAGUUUUGUUGCC